AAUGGGUCAGCGACUUAUAUUCUGUAGCAAGGUUAACCGUAUAGGGGAGCCGAAGGGAAACCGAGUCUUAACUGGGCGUUAAGUUGCAGGGUAUAGACCCGAAACCCGGUGAUCUAGCCAUGGGCAGGUUGAAGGUUGGGUAACACUAACUGGAGGACCGAACCGACUAAUGUUGAAAAAUUAGCGGAUGACCUGUGGCUGGGGGUGAAAGGCCAAUCAAACCGGGAGAUAGCUGGUUCUCCCCGAAAGCUAUUUAGGUAGCGCCUCGUGAACUCAUCUUCGGGGGUAGAGCACUGUUUCGGCUAGGGGGCCAUCCCGGCUUACCAACCCGAUGCAAACUACGAAUACCGAAGAAUGUUAUCACGGGAGACACACGGCGGGUGCUAACGUCCGUCGUGAAGAGGGAAACAACCCAGACCGCCAGCUAAGGUCCCAAAGUCAUGGUUAAGUGGGAAACGAUGUGGGAAGGCACAGACAGCCAGGAUGUUGGCUUAGAAGCAGCCAUCAUUUAAAGAAAGCGUAAUAGCUCACUGGUCGAGUCGGCCUGCGCGGAAGAUGUAACGGGGCUAAACCAUGCACCGAAGCUGCGGCAGCGACACUAUGUGUUGUUGGGUAGGGGAGCGUUCUGUAAGCCGUUGAAGGUGUGCUGUGAGGCAUGCUGGAGGUAUCAGA
rnacentral:rRNA from 1 species